rnacentral:rRNA from 1 species
UACGUAGGGUGCAAGCGUUAAUCGGAAUUACUGGGCGUAAAGCGUGCGCAGGCGGCUUUGCAAGACAGAUGUGAAAUCCCCGGGCUUAACCUGGGAACUGCAUUUGUGACUGCAUGGCUGGAGUGCGGGCAGAGGGGGAUGGAAUUCCGGCGUGUAGCAGUGAAAUGCGUAGAUAUGCGGAGGAACACCGAUGGCGAAGGCAAUCCCCUGGGCCUGCACUGACGCUCAUGCACGAAAGCGUGGGGAGCAAACAAG